rnacentral:rRNA from 1 species
AUGGACCCGGACGGCUUCCCACUUGACCACGAGUUCCCGGACGACUACAGGCAAGAGGAAGAGGACGAGUGCAACAUCGAAGUGGAGCCUUUGUUCGAGGACGAGCUCGCCAACCAAGUCGCCGGGGCGAAGCCCAAGCGCAAGAGCAAGCGCACGAAGGCAUACACGGCGGCCGAGGACAAGCUUCUUUGCGAGUGUUGGCGAGACAUUGGACAAGACCCCAAGACCAGCGCCGAACAAAAGCAUUCAACUUUUUGGAUUCGUGUGCACCAGAAGUUUCAUGAGCGCAAGAAGUUUCCUCCUUACCAAAUUGUGAGCACGCGCGGGUGGGUGUCCAUUUCGAAGCGAUGGAGGGUGAUCCAACAAGAGUGCAACAAGUUUUGUGCCACUCUUGAGAGCGUCAAGGCCCGCCCCAUGAGCGGCAUCAGCAUGCAAGACAUGGAUGCUAGCAAGCCGCCCUCUUUUGUGUCAUCAAGUUUAUACUUGCGUGUUCAUUUGCAUACCAUUUACCAAUAUGCUUGCCUGAAAACAUUUGUAGGCAUUUCAAGCUUUGGAGGCAUUCAAGGUCCAACACAACGACAAGUGCUUCAACCUCUCCCAUUGCUUUAG